GUAUUUUGUGACAGUAAGAAAUAUUUUAUUUUUGUAUUUUUCUUAAUUAUUUUGUUAUUUUUAUGAUGUUUUUACUUGAGUUACAAGCAUAAUCUGCUUUUUUAAGUCGAUAAAAGCUAUUUAAUCACAAUAGUCUCUUGGACACAUUUGAUUGCUAGUUCUUGCGUAUAUUCUAUGUUCUAUGGCAUGCUUAAUUAUGCUGGCAUAAAUUUGACAAUUUUAUACCAUUUGCAAUAAGAAAAUCUAUUUUUAAAUCAGUAUGAUUUUUUGAUAGAUAUGGAUUUCAAUUUAGUAAAGCACAUUUGUCACAUUGUUUAGAAAUAAAAACAUUGAGAAGCUAUUUGCGCCAUACAAUUUGAAAAAUUUUAAAUAAUGGCGAUGACUCUACUCAGGCUUUUAUUAAUCCUAAUACAAAAAUAAACAAACAAAAACGAUGUUUUGUAUGUCCGUCCGCAGAUAAUAAAAAAACGUGGUUUUGUGGUGUAUAUGGCGAGCCAAUUUGCGACGAUUAUCGCACGAUUUUCUGUUUAGAUUGCGCACAAAAACAUAGUUAAUAUUAUUUCUUUAAUUUUGAUCAUUCUACAUUGUAUAUACCUAAGUUUUUUAUAAUACUAUAAUUUUUUAUAAUAAAAAAAGACUUGUGUGAAGUCAUACUUUAAUCUAAAAAACCUCAAAAGAAUUUUUCUUAAUAAUAAUUUGUUAUUAAGUUAUAAAGUUUUUUACGAAAUUCCAUUUCUUGUCAAUCUUGGGAAAUUGUUAUUGUAAAAAAAUUUUUAAUAAAUAAUCAAAAUAACUAUCAAAAUUUAAAAUGUAGUCACUCAAAAGUAAUUUUGUCAAAUUUUUUGCAUGUAUUUAACAUUUUAAAAAAGGAACAGGACAAAAAAGGGUCAGUGUACAAACCGUGUUAGUCAAACUAAAUGUACAGACGGAGGGUUAACUGUAAUUAUAAUAUGUAAUUAUAAUAUAACAUGUAAUUAUAAAUUUUUGUAUUUGAUAUUGUAGGUUCCAAAAGCAAAAGUCGAAAUAUUGGAGUACUUAAACAAGGGAUAGAUUAAAGUAUUAUUAAAAUUGUUUCUGAAACUCGAAUUUGGAAUUGCGGGUCUCAGAGGCCGUAUGGAACCGAAUUACAGCAAAAUGAAUGACUUAGUAUCGUGCAAAUUGGCCAAGGAUUAAUAAAAUAUUUGUUGGACAUGAUAUUUAAUGUUGCCCAGAAAGAUGUCGCAAUAGGAAUUACAAUAAUAAAAGGUUUUCAGAAUUAACUUCUGCGCAGCAAUCUUUACAACCAAUGGUAUUCAGAUUUAUUUUCCACGAUUUGCCCUACGUUGUUUAUACCUUACUUUUUGCCGUUUGAGGGGCAAACUUUAAGCCAUUCAUAAGAUGAUAGAAGAGCAAAAGCUGCCAUUCAGAAUUUCUCAGAAUAAAAUUCCUAAUUCAGAGAAGGAAAAAAGCGUUCUGAAUCUCAGCAUUUUUAUUAAAAAAUGUAAAAAUAAAUAUUAUAAAUUAAUAUAUUUUAUGUGUGUCAUUAAUAUAUUUAAUGUGUUCAUUAAAAUCUAACCUAACUGAACCUAAUCUUGCAACCACAGGGAGGAUCAACCUAUAAUUAGAAACCCGUAUAAAAAGACUCAUUAAAAGAUGACGUAAGAUGAUUAAUUUUAAACAUUUUUCAGAUAUUUUAGAGGUGACUAAAAGAUGUCUACCCGAUCAAAAUUUUUUAUACAUAAUA